UGGGAUCUUAUGUACUUUUAUA
rnacentral:miRNA from 1 species